AGGAGCCGCGGCCGCGCAGGGGCCGAGCGGGGACGGGAGGCGCGGGAGGGGGCCCGGCCCGGGGCCGCGGAGCGGGGAAAGCCAGUGCUGUCACAUCGCUGAAAUCACACGGUGUGUGAACCCGUGCUGGCUUUCUUGCUAAAUUCAAAAAGUGAUCUGUUUAUUUACCUGUUUAGUGAAUUCCGGUGCGUUACCAAGUGCUGCGGUGUUACCAUCCAGUUUAUCUCCAAUAUUCACGUUUUAUGAGGUAAAAAAGGGCUGAGACGGGCUCCAGACCGACUCUGAGUUACAGUGUGACAACAGUCUUGCUGCUUAAUCUGGAGAUGUAUUAGUCUGGUUUGUUCUGUUCAAAUACAUUAAAUGUUCUUGUGGCUAUGGUUUAAUAUGUGUUAUAGGUAUUUUUAAUGAUGCAGCGAUAGUUUGUCUGAUUUCCAGAUGUAGGGAAAAAAGCAUACAUUUUAAUUGCUGUAUAUCAAAUUAAAGUCUCAUGUUCCAGCUAAGAGUGUCUGACACGAUCCAUUACCCUUUCUCACAUCCCAACAAUUUUUCCCAAACUUUGCCCUGGCGGCUGUCUGCCCCGAGCUGAUUGAUUGAUUGAUUGAGGAGUGCUAGCAGGAACAGUGCAGCUGCUUUCUUAGGGUGAGAUAAAGGGGAGAUGACUACUCAUGUCCAUGCUUAUGGCUACUACAUGUUCAUAGUGGCUUAUAGUUGGAUUGUAACAUGAUGUAGUUGUGUUUGCUGUUCCUUGAUACUUGCCUCGAUGGCAGCACAUUAUGCUAAAAUUAUAUACUUUUGAAAAACCUUUGGUGUAUGUGUGCUUCCUAGAAUAUGUCAGGAAGAUAUUUGUCAAGACUUUUCCUGCUUUGGGAGUUUUGUGGUCUUUGAAGAACUGGUUUUGUGACAACUUUUGGCAGAUGGCUAUCAGAAAUGCAAGUAAGCAAGCUGUAACUCCUUUAUGCUUGCUGUUUUUCAUGAGCUGGAGAGAAAGAUUAGCAAGGACAAGGUAAGAGCAGCAGUGGUUGCCUGCAGGUGCCUCAACAAUUGAGGAUUUGCAGUCUCACAGUUUAAUGUACACAACAGAGCUCACAAUAAGAAAACACUGAAAUGCCAGAGCCACAGGAAAAUCUUGAACCAAAGUUUGUACUUUUAAGACACAAAAUUUACAAAAAGCAGGAAAUCAUUACAAAAACUUGCAGGAAAUUGGGAUUUGUUGUUUUAGUUCUCCUAAGGCCAUCUAUUUGAGAUUUUUUUAUCUAUUUUCUAUGGAUGUGAAAUUUGGGCAUGCAUGUGGCCCUAUGACUGUAUUUGUCUGACAGUUCUUUACUACGGAUAAAAGCUGCUGGAAGUUCUGGUAAGCUGUUACAGCUUUCAGGAAUGUUAAAUUCUUACAGGUGCAAUGAAAGUAACCACCUGAAAGGAAGAAAGAUUCCAUGUGGUAUGGUUUGGAGGAGAAUUGUCAGAAGAACUUGACCUUUUAUCUGUCUGCUGCUGAUGAAACUGCAGUUUGGAGGUUACAAUAAAAGGGCUUAGGUUCGCUUAGUCCGGCACUUAGAUAUUAGCAGAUCCAUAUAAUGAUUUUUUUCCCCCAUGCAGUCUGGAAGUUGGCUUGCUUUGGGCUAUUUCUUCUCUUGGAUUCUUUUCUUUUCCUUCUCUUGUCUUGUUUUAAUUUUUUUUAUUUGGUUGCGUUUUUUUGUUUGGUUGUUUUUUAUCCCUCUCUCCACAGUUCCUCUGUCACAUUCAGUAUAUGGGUGCUUCUGGAUUAGAUGUGACAUGAUAAUCAAAUAGUUGUUUGUGAGAUUGAUGCUGCUUUUUUUAUAGAAACUAUGCAUAAGGAGUUAGAUUUAUGUUAGCAUAUAGAAUCACAGCAUAGGUUGGGCUGGAAGGGACCUUAAAGAUACCUAGUUCCAAACCCUUGCCAAGGGCAAGGAUGCCACUCACUAGAUCAGGUUUCUCAGAGCCCCAUCCAGCCUGGCCUGGGACACUUGAAGGGAUGGGGUAUCUACAAUCUCUUCUUGCUUUUUGUUGUCUCCUUUAUUCUGGAUAUCCUUCCUUCUCUGUAUCCCUAUUUGUAAUUUUUGUUUCUGGACAUAAGCCCUAGAGGGCAGCAAAGCAACCAAAGCGUUCAGAAGGUGCAAAUUGGGCCAGUCUGAAGAUUCUCUUUAUGAGCCUGUCAGGUUUUCAUUCUUGGACAUUAUGCCUUUCUUCUUAAAACGUGUAUUCCAAGUCAUAGUUUCAGGGGGAAGGUUUGUGUUUGGGCAGGGAUCCUUGGGGUACAAAGUGGAUUGCAACAGAGGAAGGGAAUUAGGGAAUGGACAAGUUGAAGACUAGGAAGGUGAAGCAGUUGCUUCCUCCCUUUUAGUGAAAUUACUAAAAAGUAGAAACAGAAGCUUAAAAGGAAACAGCUUUCCCUAUCCUCCAUUAACUAACUCAGCUUAAAACCUACACGGCUUCUGAGGAUGCUCCUGAAGCCUCUUGCAAUUUUUGUUGGUGUGGGUUCUUGGAGUUCAUUGCAAACCAGACUCUGAUUGGAGUGUGGACUCCUGUAUAUUAUUACCUUACAGUGAGGGUUAAUGAGGGUAUUAACUGUUGAGUGGUGAGCUAGGGGAAAGUAAAGACUGUUUAGUCAAAAGAAGCUAAAUUCUUAAAACGAGGUUUUAACAUGUCUAUAUUACUAUAAAAUAAUUUGGGAUGGAAAUGACCUCUAAAAUUGAGUCCAACCACUAACCCAGCACUGCCAAGUCCUUCACUAAACCACAUCCCUAAGUGCCACAUCCAUGCUUCCUUUAAAUAGUGCCUGGGAUGGUGACUCCACUACUUCCUUGAGCAGCCUGUUGCAAUGCUUGACAGCUCUCUCCGUGAAGAAAGUUUUCCAAAUAUCCAAUCUAAACCUCUCCUGGUACAACUGGAGGCUGUUUCCUCUCCUCCUGUUAUUACCUGUGAGAAGAGACCAAUCCCCACCUGGCUAUAGCCUCCAUUCAGGCAGUUUUGACAGCCAUGAAUAUUCCCCUCAGCCUCCUUCUUUCCAGGGUUAACAACCCCAGCCCACUCAGCUGCUCCUCAUAAAAUUCGUGCUCCAGACCUUUCACCAGCUUCAUUUCUCUUUGGGUGCUCUUCAGCACCUCUUGUAUGUUAUGCCCAUCUCAACUAUAAAUUUCUAACUCUUUAAAUUCUAGGUCAGGGAAAGUAUUGCAGAUCACAUGUCUCUCCUUUUUAUCUUAUGGUGACAGUUUCAUGCUUUCAGUUUUUUUGGAAAGAGCAUUUUGACAGUUUCCUGUCUUGGGAAUGUUGCCUUACACCAUUUAAAAUCUGUGUCUUUAAAUAUUUUUAGAAAGAGGUCAACAGAUUUGUGAUGCCUCACUAGAAAAAUUAUAGAUAGCUGAUGUGUGUUGUGUGAAACCCAAAGAAAAUAGGAUGACUAUGGAAACCUUUUGGCAAUAUCCAGCCUGGAAACUUGUGCUUUAAUGUGAAGGUUUAUAAUUGUUCCAUAAAGAAAAGCAAGUUCUUUGUCGUCAUAAGCACAUUAAGAAAAGCAUGCCUGGGAUCAAGGUAAUUUCAGAUAAAUUACACUGCUUGGAGUCUGUUCACGCCUCUGCUGGAAAAUACAUAGGUGUCGUCCAUCAAGUGCUGUGUUUCUUUUAUAUUAAACACAACUAGACCUGCUGGGUGGUAAGUGGGAGGCUUAGAGUGGACAGGGUGAGAUUUUUUAGUUCUUUUACACUGAUGGUUGUUGCUGUGUUUCAUUCAACAUUCUUGAAUUUUUCAAGGACUUCACAUUUUAGUGGAACCAGUGGAAGAUGGUGGGUUUUCUACAGCUCUAGAAAAUCAGGCCUUCAGUCUCAAGCUAGCAUUUAUUAGUAUUUUUGAAUUCUAGUCUUAAUGUUUUAAGGCAGAAAUCAGUAAAAAUUUGUUCUAUAACUGGUCAUUAAAAUGAAACAGCAAAGCAUUUCCUGCCUUUCUACUGUUAGUAUCUCCCAACUAAGAAUUUUUUUCUUUGUUUUCUUUCAUUUUGUAGUGCUUUUUUCUAGUUGAAGAUGUCAAGAGUUACCUGCUUUUGAGAUCUGAAUGGAAUUCUUCUGCAUCAGAACAGUUGGUAACUUAUUCUUGGGAGAGGAAGAAAGUCAUGUUGCAGUUCUUUGAGAAGUUUAAGGACUUCAGCAGCUGUAGACACUUUUUCCUAUUUAAAUGCCUGUCACCAGGAGGGACAGCUGUUCCUGCUCAGCCCUUUCAGUAUCAUUGUUUCAUUUCUCUUCAGUUGAUCUAAAUAUCUGGUUGCCUGUCACUGUGCUAACUUGAAGAGGUGACCAUUUGCUGUGAGGUAAUGAUGUUUAUGCUCUCUCCUAUGAAUUUCUCCUCCUUUUCCUUCCAUGAAGCAACAUCACAAAAGGAAUACACUGUGCAAGAUUUUCUCCUUGCAGUUAAUAGUACCAAGUGCUUAUUUUGAUGAGAAAAAUGUUCUUUAAAACAUUCUAGAAUAAGAAAAGAAAAUGCUCUGCUCUGUUACCAUUGCUGCGUGCCUAAUCCUGAAAGAGAGAACUUUGCCCCAAACACCUUAAAGUUUGUUUGGGAUCCAGCCAGUGUAUGUAAUUGGAAAUUGAAUUUCCAGUCAGGAAAGGAAAAUGAAGGGAGAAUAAUGGAAACAUCAGUAAUAGGUUGGACAAAUUAUGUAAAAUUACUGUAACCCUCUACUGCCCAUCCAUUUAAGAUCCAGUGUUAUUGCAGGAGUCAUCUUGGGGGUUCUGAAAGAACCAAAUGAUAAGAACUUCACUUGAGGAAGAUGAUGUAUUUUUUUUCCACAUGAUGUACAUGGAAAAAAGGUGUAAGGAGUGGUGUAGUAACCUGAAGUGGCAACAUUUUUUGCUGUAUGUCUUAGGUCUUGGACUGUCAGAACAUUUUAUGCUGUAGCAGACUGGCGCCUUCUGCUAAAUUUUGUCCUCCAUUGGUUACCCUACCUGGCUUCUUGUGCUUUAAGGGUGGGGGAAGGAGGGAAGUGUAAAGUAACACUGUCUAGGGCCAAAAGAAAGUCCCUGAUGUAUUACAAGAGUCUGUAUUUCUGCUUCCUAUCUUGCUGUUUCUAUAGAAAAGUCUACACUGUUUCUUAGAAGUCCUUGUGUUAUGGAACUGUGCUGGAUUUGAAAGGUCAGUGUUGCUGGACUGUGUAGAUACCAAAACAUUACUGCUAUUUAAGAGUCAUAUUUUCCUGCUGUAACUACUGUUUGACUCACAGAUAUCUCUAAGAUGGAGUUGCAAGCAACAAAAAUAUAGUAAUUAAUGAUUUUUUUUCUCAUACAAGUAAAAUUUAUUUUUGCACGUGGAAAUCGUUAUUAUAAUACCAUUUCACUGGAAUUUUCUAGGAGUACAAAUGGUUCUCUUUAAAGUAUCCUGUUAAAAAACCCAGCAGCUAAACAACAAACAAAUCAAUAUGGCUGUAUCUGGCUCUUCAAGUUGUAUUGUACAGUGUUUCCAGGAAUUAUGUUCUCUCUUGUCCUGCCUGAGGCAGAUAAUGAUUACAUAAAUAUAAAACUGAAAUCUGCAAUUUUGCGUUUGAGGGUAUGGAUCAGUACACAAAGGGUCAAUCUACAGUAGCAAAAUUGUCCUUGGAAAGAAUGAACUGUUCACAAAAUUUCUGCUGAAGUGUUUGUUAAACUGAGAGGAAAAACAAAAGCUCAUGCUUACACAACUUCAGGGUGGAAAUGUUGGAUACCACUAGGACCUUGCUAUUGUUGGUUUCCACACAGUUUUUAGUAAAACACCCACUCAACUUCACUCUCAGCCAGUGCUUUAAAUUCUCUCAUUGCUGGAGAUGAUGUUUUUACUUGCUCUUGUAUAGUUCACUAUCUUCCAUCUAAAUGACAUCCCUUUUAGUGAAGGUGGCUUUUGUCCUCAGUUAAAUUAAACUAAUUAAAAUUGAAAUAUGUUACAGUCUGGGAACUUGUUCUAAGAGAUCCGUUUGUGUUAGACCCAUAUUGUUCUACAAAACUGAAGAGAUGAGCCAGGUUUCAGAGUUACACUCUGAGCCCACUGCCAGAGAUCCCUCCCUAUGGAUACUGCAGAACUGGCAAGGGCAUUUUUGAUAUGUGUUGUUCUGCUGGUUUGUUGUGUAAACCUACACUUCUAACAAGUGCAUUCCCACCACAUCCACUCGUUCCCUAAUUUCUCCUUCCCAUGUGCCACAUGCUGUAUUUUAGUUUCAUAGCUGCAGAUAGGUCUGGAUAUUCUAAAAGAAUGUCCUGAUACCUCUCUGCACUGUGUGACUUUACAAAGAAGCUUUUGUAUUAAUUAACUGGUAGCAGUCUUGGCUUCACAAUCAUAGAUGGAAGCAAAAAAAAAGAAUCUGCUUCUACUUGUAAAAAAAUUAACCAAAAUUACAAAAGACAAACCUCCCCCCCAGCAAGUGUGCAAGUGUUUAUGAAAAUCAACAGCUCAUGUGUUACUAGUUACUAGGUAUGAAUAUGAGUCCAGUUCUGAUAAAGACCAUGGAAAAAACUGCUUUUAAGAUAUGAUCAAAUUUAGAAAAUUAGUAAUUUUUUUCUCAGUGCAAUUGCUGGAGAUAACAAUAAGACACUAGUUAGAAUGAGAAAGUUUGUUAUCACUUCAUUUACAUUUUAAAUGAAAAAAAUGGCAGUACUAUGCUAGUUACAAAACCCUUCCCUCCUUCCCUGCCAGAUUUAUGCUCCUCAGUUCUUUGGCUGCUUCUGCUUUUCCCUCCCACUGUCAAAGAAUGCAACAAAGUUUUGUCUACACAGAAAGCAGUAAUGCAUGUGAGUAAUGUGAGUAAUGCUGUCUGUUGACAUUAGUAAGUGGGAAAUAUGUGAUGAAAUGCUAAACUCAGAAAAAAUAUGAAAUAAAGUGACAUGAGUUUAGUCUGCUUUUUUUUCCCUUCUCUAUUCUAGGGUUUUUUUGGUUUUUUUUUUUUGGAGGAGAGGUUGAUUUCUGGCUGUUGAUAAACCUUCCAUAACUGAAAAGUAUGAGGAACUGGUAUGGUAAAGUCUUAAGGUAAACUUUAUAAAAUAUGUGGCUUCAAAGCAGGAAUUCUGAGUACAUGUAAGGCAAAACCUAUAAAAUGUAAGCUCUGUGCAAGAAAUUUAUGCACUGUGCUGAGGAUAGUUUUAUGCUGGGUACUCUUUAAGGUGUGUUUUUUGGAGAGGCUGCUUGGAAAGAAGCACUAGCAGUGCUUUUACCACUGUCAGCCUCACAGGUGGGAUGUUUCUGUCCAGAAAACAAACAAUGAGGCUUUUAAGACUGUUGGGCUUUUUAAAUUUACCAGAGAGUAUAAUCUGGGGAGUCUGACUCAGUAUUAUUUGGGAAUUCUUGGUAUUAUUACAUUCUUGGAAAGUGCUACAUAGUAGAUUACAAAGAAAAGAAAAAAAAAAAAGAUCCUGCAAGCUAGCACAAGCAUAUUCCUAACUAGGAGUGAUUUUUUCUGAAUCUGGGCCUAAACCAUCUAAUUUUCAGUUUUAUUCCUUGGACAGUAUGUAAUGAAAACAUAGGAUUAAAAGUGGCUCUAAAAAAUAUUGUUAUAUUAGAGACUACUAGACAACAGUUGAGAGAUAAAGAUGCAAUUAGUAACAAUAUGGUAAUUCAGCCUUCAGAGCUCCUUGCUACUUUACAAAAAACAAUCACCCAGAACUAUGGGUUCUUAGGUUUAUUGUGGAGAGAGCAUGCAGAUAAAAUUAUUUGUUACAAUUACUUAGCAGGGCCCUGCAUUCUGUUAGAAUUCAAGCAAACUGCAUCCAAACUGCUUAAUUUUGCUUUGUUUUAUAUUGAUUGAGAGACACAGGAAAAAUGAGGCCAGUGAAAUACACAAUAGAUGUGGUAAUUCAAAAAACCCCACCAAACCUGGAACCAAAGAAACUAUGGGUAUUUUCUAUCCCUUCUCUGAGUAACAACACCAGCAGGUCACUGCCUCUGCUCUGGGGCAGGGAGAGACUGUGUCCAUGCCAGGACAGCUUGGAGCCAAGAGGAUUGAGUAGACACAGCUGCAGUGAGGGGAAAGGUGAUGGUGGCUGUUGUCCCAAACAAGAUGUGUGAUGACUUUAUGUUGGGUUCUAGGAGUUUCAUUUUUUUCCCCUCCCUUACUCUGGAAAUCCAAGAUGCUUUCUCCUAUUGAAAUAAAUGGAGAUGGACAUACUGUCCAAAUGGGGGAAAAAAUUUUAUGCCCUUUUGAGGUGUUCUUUAAGAAGGAACAGUUCCUCCCUGUUAGCCCACACUCCAAAUGUUAGAUGUAUAAAUAAAAACUGGCUGUGUACUCCUCAUCAGUUUUAUUUUGAGAUUUUUUUUUCUUACUUUUCAGAACAUUGGAUUUUUUUAGUUAUUUUUCCAUAAUUUUUACCCAUAAAAACUCUGGAGGAAAUUCAGUAAUGCCAAAACCAGAAAAGUGUUAAUAUAUGUUGUUUGGCAAAUGUUGUGGCUGCUUAAAAAUAUUAACAUAUCUCAGUUCCUAGGUCUACAGUCUGCUGUGCAACUGGAUAUUUUUUUGAGUUUAUUUCAGAGCCCAGAAAUAAUUGGACCUUUAGGAACCUCAGGCUGAACUUGAUGAGUAUCUCAAGAUAGUGUAGAAAUAAAUGUAACAGUUUCAGUAAGAUGCACAGAUAUCUUCUCAAAUUCUUUCCUUUUCGUGGACACAUGUGCUUGUUAAACUACUGACUUGCCUUAGUUUUAAGGACUUUUGUUUCUCAUUUCUCUUCCCAAAAGAUAGCAAAUAAGGUUAAUUACAAGCAACUAAGUAUUCAUGGAUGUUAUUACUUAACAGGAGGCCUUUGCCUGCAUUCCUCUGGGGAUAAGAAUGUGUACAAAAAUGACUGCUUUAUUGAUCGAAUGUAAAAAUAAAUAAAUAAAGCUAUAAUUGUUUCUCCAUCUUA